rnacentral:rRNA from 1 species
CCUACGGGAGGCAGCAGUGAGGAAUAUUGGUCAAUGGACGAGAGUCUGAACCAGCCAAGUCGCGUGAAGGAUGACUGCCCUAUGGGUUGUAAACUUCUUUUAUAUGGGAAUAAAAUGUUCCACGUGUGGGAUUUUGUAUGUACCAUAUGAAUAAGGCUCCGCUAACUCCGUGCCAGCAGCCGCGGUAAUACGGAGGAUCCGAGCGUUAUCCGGAUUUAUUGGGUUUAAAGGGAGCGUAGGUGGAUUGGUAAGUCAGGCGUGAAAGGUUGCGGCUCAACCGUAAAAUUGCAGUUGAAACUGGCAGUCUUGAGUACAGGAGAGGUGGGCGGAAGUCGUGGUGUAGCGGUGAAAUGCUUAGAUAUCACGAAGAACUCCGAUUGCGAAGGCAGUUCACUGGACUGCAACUGACACUGAGGCUCGAAAGUGUGGGUAUCAAACAGGAUUAGAUACCCGAGUAGUC